GCUGUAAUGUGUCAUCACCAUGCUCCAAUGUGAUAUCACAAUGCCUAGUGUGCCAAAACAAUGCAUCAAUGUGUCAUCACAAUGCCCCCAUAUGCCACCACAAUG
rnacentral:miRNA from 1 species